GGAUGUGAGGGCGAUCUGGCUGCAACAUCUGUCACCCCACUGAUCACCAGGGUUGAUUUGGCUGAUCUGGCUGGCUAGGCGGGUGUCCCCUUCCUCCCUCACUGCUCUAUGUGCGUCCCUCCUGAAGCUGUGUGCUCCGCUCGGUCGAAGAUGACAACCUUCCCUGAUAGAGGAGGACCGUUCUUCGAUCAAGGGUAUACGAGUUGCUGUGCUCCCCUGCUAGAACCUCCAAACAAGCUCUCAAGAUAAUAAUAGAUCACAGCAGUAGAUCUGCCAUGGUCAA
ensembl:misc_RNA 7SK 7SK RNA